rnacentral:misc_RNA from 1 species
GAUGAAGAACGUAGCGAAAUGCGAUACUUGGUGUGAAUUGCAGAAUCCCGUGAACCAUCGAGUCUUUGAACGCAAGUUGCGCCCGAAGCCUCGGCUAAGGGCACGUCUGCCUGGGCGUCACGCAUCGCGUCUCCCCCAAACCGCCAAGGCGGAGGGGAAGGAAGGUGGCUUCCCGUGCCUCACCCGGGCGCGGUUGGCCUAAAUUUGGAGCCCGCGGCACUUAGCUCUCGCGGCGAUAGGUGGUGAACAAGGCCUUGGCCGUGCAAACAACCCGCUGCGAAGCUCUAUGUCACGUGCGCUCGUCGGACCCUUUGAAGUUGCCUUCGGUGACUUAAAACCUUUGCGACCCCAGGUCAGGCGGGGCUACCCGCUGAAUUUAAGCAUAUCAAUAAGCGGAGGA